rnacentral:rRNA from 1 species
GACAGGGGGUGCAAACGUUGUUCGGAAUUAUUGGGCGUAAAGCGCGUGUAGGCGGCUUUGCAAGUCGGGUGUGAAAGCCCUCAGCUUAACUGAGGAAGUGCGCCCGAAACUGCAGAGCUUGAGUACCGGAGAGGAUGGCGGAAUUCCCCAAGUAGAGGCGAAAUUCGUAGAUAUGGGGAGGAACACCGGUGGCGAAGGCGGCCAUCUGGACGGAUACUGACGCUGAGACGCGAAAGCGUGGGGAGCAAACAGG